rnacentral:sRNA from 1 species
UCUUGAAAAAUCGAGAGUCGGCGGCAUGUUCAAAGCAGAGGAAGUUACAGUACAUGAUUGAUUUGGAACAGAGAAUAAACUUUCUCUAGAACGAAAAUGCUUC